AACGAACGCUGGCGGCAUGCCUAACACAUGCAAGUCGAACGCGUGUAGCAAUACACGAGUGGCGCACGGGUGAGUAACGCGUGGGAACCUGCCCAGUGGUAGGGAAUAACUGCGGGAAACUGCAGCUAAUACCCUAUACGCCCUACGGGGGGAAAGUUUUUCGCCAUUGGAGGGGCCCGCGUCGGAUUAGCUAGUUGGUGAGGUAAGAGCUUACCAAGGCGACGAUCCGUAGCUGGUCUGAGAGGAUGAUCAGCCACACUGGGACUGAGACACGGCCCAGACUCCGUACGGGUGGCUG
rnacentral:rRNA from 1 species